rnacentral:Y_RNA from 1 species
GGCUAGUCUGAAAACAGUGAGUUAUUUUAAUCAAUUGUUUGCAGUCAGUUACCGAUUGUAGUCAUUGUUCUACUCUUUCCCUCUUCUCACUACUGCACUUGACUAGUCUUUA